rnacentral:rRNA from 2 species
GGGUUGUGAGGUUAAGCGACUAAGCGUACACGGUGGAUGCCCUGGCAGUCAGAGGCGAUGAAGGACGUGCUAAUCUGCGAUAAGCGUCGGUAAGGUGAUAUGAACCGUUAUAACCGGCGAUUUCCGAAUGGGGAAACCCAGUGUGUUUCGACACACUAUCAUUAACUGAAUCCAUAGG